AAGAAGACUGUGUGUGCCAAGGCAAUGCAGCAGAUACCUGAGCAAUGUGCCUUCAAGGAACAGGGGGUGGUGAAGCAGUGUAUGGGGACAGUCACCCUGAACCCGGCCUCAGAUUCUUUUGACAUCAGCUGUAAUGGGCCUGGUAUACAGCCCUUUCGGUUCAAGAAAGUUUCACGGCUGGCUGGACUCCUCCGGAAAGGUGGGGAGAAGAUUGGUGAAAAGCUUAAGAAAAUUGGCCAGAAAA